rnacentral:rRNA from 1 species
GGACGAACGCUGGCGGCGUGCCUAACACAUGCAAGUCGAGCGGGGUUGAAGCGAGGGGUAACUCGGACUUCUACCUAGCGGCGGACGGGUGAGUAACGCGUGGGCAACCUGCCUCAAGGUUUGGGAUAACAGCUCGAAAGGGCUGCUAAUACCGGAUAUGCCUGUGGCCUCGCAUGGGGCUAUGAGCAAAGGGGAAACCCGCCUUGAGAUGGGCCCGCGUCCCAUCAGCUAGUUGGUGAGGUAAUGGCUUACCAAGGCGAUGAUAGGUAGGCGGCCUUAACGGGUGGUCGCCCACACUGGGAUUGAGAUACGGCCCAGACUCCUACGGGAGGCAGCAGUCGAGAAUAGUCUACAAUGGACGAAAGUCUGAUAGUGCGACGCCGCGUGAACGAAGAAUCCUUUCGGGGUGUAAAGUUCUUUUCUAUGUGAGCAGUUCCUUUUAUAUGAAGAGUAUAGAAGGGGGGAUUUAAGCAUAGGAAUAAGCAACGGCUAACUCCGUGCCAGCAGCCGCGGUAACACGGGGGUUGCAAGCGUUGUCCGGAAUUACUAGGCGUAAAGUGCAGGUAGGCGGAUAGAUAAGUUUAAGGUUAAAGGCUACGGCUUACCCGUAGUAAGGCGUUAGAUACUGUUUAUCUGGAAUGCGGUUGAGGAAGACAGAAUUCCUGGUGUAGCGGUGGAAUGCGCAGAGAUCAGGAGGAAUACCGAAGGCGAAGGCAGUCUUCUAAGCCGAAAUUGACGCUAAACUGCGAAGGUGUGGGGAUCAAACAGGAUUAGAUACCCUGGUAGUCCACACAGUAAACGAUAAUCACUAGGUGUUGGGUUCGUAUAGGACUCGGUGCCGGAGCUAACGCGAUAAGUGAUUCGCCUGGGGAGUACGAUCGCAAGGUUGAAACUCAAAGGAAUUGACGGGGGCCCGCACAAGCGGUGGAGCAUGUGGUUUAAUUCGACGCAACGCGAAGAACCUUACCCGGUCUUGACAUCUGCAGAAUUCUUCAGAGAUGGAGGAGUGCCGGCUUGCCGGAGCUGCAAGACAGGUGCUGCAUGGCUGUCGUCAGCUCGUGUCGUGAGAUGUUGGGUUAAGUCCCGCAACGAGCGCAACCCCUGCUUUCAGUUACCAUCAUUAAGUUGGGGACUCUGGAAGGACCGCUGUGGUAACAACGCAGAGGAAGAUGGGGACGAGGUCAAGUCAUCAUGGUCCUUAUGACCGGGGCUACACACGUGCUACAAUGGUAGUUACAGAGGGGAGCGAAGCAGAGAUGUGGAGCGAAUCUCAGAAAAGCUACCCAAGUUCGGAUUGAGGUCUGCAACUCGACCUCAUGAAGCCGGAAUCGCUAGUAAUCGCGCAACAUCAUGGUGCGGUGAAUGCGUUCCCGGGCCU